rnacentral:lncRNA from 1 species
AUUAGAUGAUGAAAAAUAAAAGAAAAUUUUAGAAAUUAUUUUGGGAUUUUUUGGAUGCAAAAUAAAAUUUCUAUGAAUUUUAAAAGAAAAUACAAUUAAAAAUGAAAAAAGAAAGAGAAAUAAAAUCAUAAAAAACACGCAGCGUUGGAUCUGGCCUCAUUAAUUGACGUGGCAGAUCCAACAAUCACAAGGCUAGGGCGC